ensembl:snoRNA SNORD33 Small nucleolar RNA Z195/SNORD33/SNORD32 family
CUGGCCAGUGAUGAGGACUUCUCCCACUCGUGUUCGAGUUCCCCAACCAUGAGAUGACUCCACAUGCACUACUUGCUGUGUAAAGACCCA